rnacentral:tRNA from 1 species
GCGUCCAUUGUCUAAUGGAUAGGACAUGGGUCUUCUAAACCUUUGGUAUAGGUUCAAAUCCUAUUGGGCGCG